rnacentral:lncRNA from 1 species
CUUUAAAAAAGUUUCUAAACUUCGAUAUCUGCUUUUCUGUACUAAUUAUUGCCAAUAUAUUUCUACUGGCAUAAAAACAGACACACAGGACAAUGGAGCAGAAUGGAGAUCUCAGACAUAAAUCUACACAUUUACAAACAACUCAUCUCUGACAAAGGCAUCAAGAACAUACACUGGGCAAAGAACAGUCUUUUCAAUAAAUAAUCCUGGGAAAACUGAAUAACUAAAUGAAGAAGGAUAAAAUUAAACCCCUCUUACCAUAUACAAAAAUCAAAUCGAAUAAAAAUAGAUUAAAGACUUGAAUCUAAGACCUGAAACUAUGAAGUUACUAAAAGAAAGCAUAGGAGAAAUGCUCCAGGACAUUGGUCCGGGCAGAUUUUUUUGCGUAAGACCUCAGAAGCACAGGCAACAAAGGCAAAAAUAGACAAUGGGAUUAUAUCAAGCUAAAAAGCCUCAAGCAAAGGAAAUAAUCAACAAAGUGAAGUGCCAACCACAGAAUGGGACAAAAUAUUUUCAAACUAUCCAUCUGAUAAAGGAGUAACAACUGCAAUAUAUAAAAAGCUCAAACAACUCAAUAAUAAUCAAAAAAUCUGAUUGAAAAAUGGGCUACUGAAGAGGCUGAGGUAGGAGGAUUUCUUAAUCCCAGGAGUUUGAGGUUACAGUGAGCUAUGAUUAAGCCACUGCCCUUUAUCUUGGGUGACACAGCAAGACCUUGCUUCUAAAAAAAUUGUUAAA